rnacentral:rRNA from 1 species
UACGAAGGGGGCAAGCGUUGUCCGGAAUUAUUGGGCGUAAAGAGCUCGUAGGCGGUUUGUCGCGUCGACUGUGAAAACCUACAGCUUAACUGUGGGCUUGCAGUCGAUACGGGCAGACUUGAGUUCGGUAGGGGAGACUGGAAUUCCUGGUGUAGCGGUGAAAAUGCGCAGAUAUCAGGAGGAACACCGGUGGCGAAGGCGGGGUCUCUGGGCCGAUAUUGACGCUGAGGAGCGAAAGCGUGGGGAGCGAACAGG